GUGCUAUGUUUUCAAAUGAGAUGUCCAAGUUCAGAUCCCUCCUCUCAGUACAACUAUUAAAUUAUCAAAAAACAUGUUGUCUACUCAAUCAAAGGGACAAGACAAACAAGAUUUGAAGCUGCAUGGAUUAGAGACACUCAAAGCUUGGAGGAGGUGGAUCAAGCAUGGAGAAAAGCUACUCAGUGUGCCGGCAUACGGAGGUUCAGUGAGGUAGUGCAACGGUAAAUGGAGGUCUAGUGAGGUAGUGUGGCAGCAAAUGGAGGUCUAGCGAGGAUUGUGGCUGGAGACGCAGGAGCUGAGGAGGGAGUGAGAUUUUAGGCAAAACAUGAAAUAGGUUUUUAUUUUUUUUAUAAAGAAUUUUAUUAGGUGUAUUAGGAUGUAUUGAUUUUAUAAUGAGUUUAAGUAAAAAUCUGAUGUGACAUGUUUUUAUU